GGAAGUGCUUUUUUUUUUUUAACGUCACAGGUCGUAGGCUUUAAGUGGGAAGAAGAAAGCUAACUCUGCUCAAAAGAAAAGGAAAAAGGCUGGAAGUUAGGACAGAAGUCUCCUGUCUCGGAGGACAUUGGGACGCCAUUGUCUACUGUUAUAUUACCUGCCUCUCCCAGUGAGUGCUAAGGGAGGGGAGGACUGGAAGAAAUACAGGGAGGAGCCCGUAUUCUAGGGUGAAGGUGUUCAAACUGCAGUACUAGAAGAAUGUCCAGGGAUCUUCGGUCCACCUGGAAUUUAUUUUUGUAUCUAGUGUAAGGUAGGAAUCUGUAUUUGUAUUUUUUCACAGUAAUAAUCAUUCUGCCAAUAUCAUUUUAGUACAAAAAGAGUUGAUACUAACUCCCCUACUAAUUGUAGUCAUGUGAGACAUAUCAAGGGUAUAAGGCCAAUUUAUUUGUUUAUUUAAAUAGAAUUGUGAAGUCAGCCAGAAUAUUAACGUUGGCUCUUUGAACAUUUUCUCCCAAGUGGAAAAUUCCAUAUGGGAAACCAAAUUACUGUUGAAGUCUGCUUAGAAAGCUGAGGACUAGGGGAGUUCCCUGGUGGCCUAGUGGUUAGGAUUCUGCGCUUUCACUGCCAUGGCCUGGGUUCAAUCCCUGGUUGGGGAAGUGAGAUCCCACAAGCUGUGUGGUUUGGCCAAAAAAUUAAAAUAAAAAACAAAACAAAACAAAACAAGAGAAAGCUGAGGACUAGAAAACAAGUUAAAAAUCUUAGUGACUAGUGUCUGACGUCUAUGACAGUCUUUGGUAUAAUACAAAAUAUUUUGCUUUUGUCCCCUGUUCCAAACACAGAACUCCUAACACCCUUGUAGUUUCCUGAGUGAUAGGAGCAUCAUUUAUUAUUCAUAAGAAGGCCCUUCCAGCACUCCUGAGUUUAUGCUAAUUAGGUAGCUUAAGGUAGGCCUUAGGGUGGGACCCCCAAGAUAGCUUUGAGAUGGGCAGGUCACCAGAAAGACCAAGUGAUUAGAGGAUGGGAACUUUUCAGCUCUAGUCCUGACCUCCAGAGUGAGAGGCAGGGUGUGCUAGAGAUUAAGUUCUAUAAAAACUCUUGAACAAAGAGAUUCAGAGAGCUUCCAAGCUGGUGAACACAAUGAAGUGCUAGGAGGGUAGGCACCCCAACUCCACGUGAAAGAAGCCCCUUUGCUCAGGACCUUUGUGGACUUUGCCUUUGUACCUCUUCAUCUGGCCGUUCAUGUGUAUCCUUUGUAAGGAUACAAAAGUUACCUUUACUUUGUAAUUAUAAGUGAUGUGUCUUAUUGAGUUUAUUGAGUUCUGCGAGCCACUCUAGGAAAUUAUGGAACUUUAGGAGAGUGUCAUGGGAACUCCCAAUUCAUAGCCAGUUGGUCAGAAGUCCAGGAGGUCUAGGACUUGUGACUGGCAUCUGAAGUGGGGGCAGUCCUGUGAGACUAAGACCUUGAGCUGUGGGGUGUUCACCAACUCCCAGUAUUCAGUGUCAAAAAUGAGUUGAAGUGUUGAACACCCAGUUAUUGUCUGGAGAAUCAGAGAUUUGGUUGUUGGUGUUGGAAGACACCUCACAGCCCAAUGCACCAAUGUUCAUCCUGUCAACCAAGGUACCAGAAAUCUCAUAUUGUAUGUUUCACUAACUUUCUCAUGUGAACUGUGCUGGCUACAAACCAAAUUUCCUUGCCUUGCCUCUUUUUUUUUUUAAAUUUUUUUUAAGCAUCCAUGCUUCCCAUCACGCUUCAUUAAAUAAUUGUUUUCCUAGGUGCCAAGAUUCCUUUAUGUUCUUCAUUUAUUCUUUCAUUCAAUAAAUAUAUGUGAUAAAUA